rnacentral:rRNA from 1 species
UGGGGAAUUGUUCGCAAUGGGCGCAAGCCUGACGACGCAACGCCGCGUGGAGGAUGAAGAUCUUCGGGUCGUAAACUCCUGUCGAAUGGGACGAAUGGCUCGGCCGCUAAUACCGGCCGGGAAUGACGGUACCGUGAGAGGAAGCCCCGGCUAACUCCGUGCCAGCAGCCGCGGUAAUACGGGGGGGGCAAGCGUUGUUCGGAAUUACUGGGCGUAAAGGGCUCGUAGGUGGCCUCUUAAGUUAGACGUGAAAUCCCUCGGCUCAACCGGGGAACUGCGUCUAAGACUGGGAGGCUUGAAUCCGGGAGAGGGAUGUGGAAUUCCAGGUGUAGCGGUGAAAUGCGUAGAUAUCUGGAGGAACACCGGUGGCGAAGGCGGCAUCCUGGACCGGUAUUGACACUGAGGAGCGAAAGCCAGGGGAGCAAACGGG